UAUCCAAUUACAUAAAAACAGUACCUCAACUAAUAAAAAUGAUUAUAUUGAAAUAUGUUGUACUUACAUUUUUAUUAGUCGACUAUCAGGGAAGUGCAUGUUACAGAGAAUUUACGUUACGUCAAUCAUGCUUUGUCUGAGGUAAUCAUCAACAUUGCAGUGUAUACAUGUCUCUUCUGCUAGAUUAUUUCGUCUGCUACCUGUUUAUUAUUUCGAUGCAAUUAGAUGAUUUAAAAGGGUUCAAAGUGAACACAAAUUGGAGGAUUGAAUAACACAAGAACUGAUUUUCGGACACAUAUUUUGAGACAAAAUGUGGCAGCUUUGCUCAUCUUUGCAAGCGAUGUUGUGUUUAGUAAGCACUGUGCUGUUUUUCUGGGCUCUCUGGACUCAAUUCGGGACAGACGAUUACGCAAUUCUUUGUGAAAAGUUAUCGGAAGAAAACUCAAUCGUCUAUGUGAUUUUACAACUUUUAAGUUCAUUGUUCGAAGUGACUUGGACGCUUUUAAAAUUAACGAGUAUUUUGAUGGAAUAUUGUGUAAACUGUGCUGUUUGCUUGCUGAACAUGGUUUCAGAAUUGUUAUAUCUUGUAAAUAGGUAAUAGAUUAAAAUUGUUAAGUCAACUUUGUACCCUAUCGACCGUAAAUCUACUUUAUAUUACGGAUAUUGAGUCGCCUAGUGCUUCCAACUUGUUAUGCUCAGCAUGAUCAAAGCAGACGUUUUUUUAUGCUGCUUAGCAUAUAUAUGCUUCUGCAUAGUGACCGUUAAAAAGGUUUCGAAAAAAGAGAGAGGACAUAUUUAUGAAUUUUAAUUCGUACCAGGGAUUUGUUAAAUUUCGUAUAUGUUAGUGUUCAUUAGUAAGAAUGUUAGAAAUUGCAAAAUUUAGGUUCUGAAAUCAGUUUGUCUGGUAGGAUUGCAGUAUUUCAAUGAAUGGUAACGUAUUUUCAGACUAGUAAAUCGUUUUUCAAUAAAAAGUAAGUUUAA